UACGUAGGGCGCAAGCGUUAUCCGGAAUUAUUGGGCGUAAAGAGCUCGUAGGCGGCUUGUCGCGUCGAAUGUGAAAUCUCGGGGCUCAACUCCGAGCUUGCAUUCGAUACGGGCAGGCUAGAGUUCGGUAGGGGGAGACUGGAAUUCCUGGUGUAGCGGUGAAAUGCGCAGAUAUCGGGAGGAACACCAGUGGCGAAGGCGGCUUCCUGGCCUGUUCUUGACGCUGAGGCGCGAAAGCUAGGGGGAGCAAACGGG
rnacentral:rRNA from 1 species